rnacentral:rRNA from 1 species
GACGUAGGGGGCGAGCGUUAUCCGGAUUCACUGGGCGUAAAGGGCGCGCAGGCGGUUACGUAAGUCCGGCGUGAAAUCCCACGGCUUAACUGUGGAACUGCGUCGGAUACUGCGUUGACUUGAGGAUGGUAGAGGCCAUUAGAACUAGCGGUGUAGCGGUGAAAUGCGCAGAUAUCGCUAGGAAUGCCGGUGGCGAAGGCGGAUGGCUGGGCCACUCCUGACGCUGAGGCGCGAAAGCUAGGGGAGCGAACCGG